GCAGAACGCGAAGAACCUUACCAAGGCUUGACAUGGAUUUCUAAGCACGUGAAAGCGUGUGACCCUUCGGGGGACGUUCCACAGGUGCUGCAUGGCCGUCGUCAGCUCGUGUCGUGAGAUGCUGGGUUAAGACCCCGCAACGAGCGCAACCCUUGUGAACAGUUGCCAGCGCGUCAUGGCGGGAACUCUGUUCAGACUGCCCAGAUCAACUGGGAGGAAGGUGGGGACGACGUCAGGUCAGUAUGGCCCUUACGCCUUGGGCUGCACACGUACUACAAUGCCCAGCACAAUGAGAACCGAUGCCGCGAGGUGGAGGAAAUCUGCAAAACUGGGCUCAGUUCGGAUUGGAGGCUGCAACUCGCCUCCAUGAAGUUGGAAUCGCUAGUAAUGGGGCAUCAUCUACGGCCCCGUGAAUACGUUCCCGGGUCUUGUACACACCGGGUC
rnacentral:rRNA from 1 species